AGGGGUGUAGCUCAAUUGGUAGAGUGUAUGCUUAGCAUGCAUGAGGUCCUGGGUUCAAUCCUCAGUACUGCCU
rnacentral:tRNA from 1 species